AUGAAGGUGGCCAAGAACCCUGCCUUCGAUGACCCAGCUAAGCCACUCCUGUCCCUAAACCCACAGGAGGAUGCCAAAUUUAAAAAGGAGGUGGCUCAGGUACAUGAAGAACUUUUUAGAGAGUGGCAUAUACCAUUUAAAAGGCCAUCAUAUCCAGCAGUGAAAUUAAUCUAUGUGGGCCACUUACCACCAUCCCUUUAUGAAACCCAGAUCCGAGCGUAUUUUUCCCAAUUUGGCACUGUUACAAGAUUGAGACUGUCCAGGAGUAUAAAGACUGGAAAUAGCAAAGGCUACGGCUUUGUGGAGUUUGAAUCUGAAGAUGUUGCCAAAAUAGCUGCUGAAACAAUGAACAACUACCUUUUUGGUGAAAGACUCUUAAAGUGUCAUUUUAUACCACCUGAAAAGGUACAUGAAGAACUUUUUAGAGAGUGGCAUAUGCCAUUUAAAAGGCCAUCAUAUCCAGCAGUGAAACAGUACAAUCAGAAUCGGUCACUUGUUCAAAAGCUACGGAUGGAGGAGCGGUUUAAAAAGAAGGAAAAAUUACUCAGAAAGAGAUUGGCUAAAAAGGGGAUUGAUUAUGAUUUCCCUUCAUUUGUUAAGGUGUUACAUAAAACUGAGGAAAAUGCUUCAAACACUGGUCCUCGAAACUCCAGAAAGUACCAGGCUUUGCGUAAGAAGAAGAAGGCCGCUUCAGUCGCCGCCGAGACUCCCGAGAAGGCUGUGGAUAGCCGGGGUCCCACACCAGUGUGUACACCAACAUUUUUGGAGAAACGAAAAUCUGAAGUGGCCAAACUGAAUGAUGAUGAUAAAGAUAAUGAAAUAGUUUUCAAACAGCCCGUAUCUGGUGUCAAAGAAGAAACACAGGAGACUCAACCACCUACAAGUUCAAAGAAAAAAAGACGAAGAAAACACAAUCAGUGAUUUUUUUAAUGUAUUGUGUAUAGUUCUUCUGAAAAGAUGAUUUUCUUAUGAAGACUAAUUCUUUAUAUUUAACUAGAUAUAGUGGAAUGCAACCAGUAACAAGAUGGUUGGGGAAAAACUGUCAAUUCAAGUCACCGAGGAAAGCAGUCAGUGAUCCUGGCUUCCCUGCCCUUGCUGCAAUGCAGGGGUGCACGCCAGCUUACAGCAGCCAGGCUCCCGCUGCCUCUUGUCCUGUCUCUAGUUUUCUUUGCAGUUUUCACAGCUGCUUUUAGUCACUCUUCCUGGAGAGAAGAUCACUAUUAACUGCUGACCUAAGUACUAAACUGUAGCCUCUGUUGUUACCAUCAAAUAAAUAAAAUCUUGCUUGACCAUCAGAAUAGUUCUCUGUUAGACCAAGCACAUUUAAGCCGUCAGAUGGCUGAAACUAGAAGUCAGAUUCUGUGGGGAGUGAGAAGGAGGUAUCAGUACUAAUAGAGACUCAUUUAUGUAUAUACGAUCAUUUUUACCAAUGUUAAAUUAGUUUGUGGUGGGCUGGCAUGGAUUAAUUAAUAACUACCAUCUUAUAUCAGUAUCAUCAAUCAGGAAUUUGGUUUCAAGAUUCAUGUAGUGACCACCAGAUAAACUUUUUCUGUUUUUUUUGUAUGCAAGAGCAAUUUGGAUGUCUUGAAAUAAAAAAAAGGUUGGGUUUGCCUUU